rnacentral:rRNA from 1 species
CCUACGGGGGCUGCAGUGAGGAAUUUUGCGCAAUAGGGGAAACCCUGACGCAGCAACGCCGCGUGAGUGAAGAAGGCCUUCGGGUCGUAAAGCUCUGUCAAGUGGGAAAAAACGCAGUCGGUGAAUAGCCGGCUGAAUUGAUGGUACCACCAGAGGAAGCACCGGCUAACUCCGUGCCAGCAGCCGCGGUAAUACGGAGGGUGCAAGCGUUGUUCGGAAUUACUGGGCGUAAAGAGCGUGUAGGCGGUUUGGUAAGUCAGAUGUGAAAGCCCUGAGCUUAACUGAGGAAGUGCA